UACGUAGGAAGCGAGCGUUGUCCGGAAUCACUGGGCGUAAAGCGCGUGUAGGCGGUACGGCAAGUCUGCUGUGAAAGCGCCCGGCUUAACCGGGCGAGGUCGGCGGAAACUGCUGAACUGGAGGACGGUAGAGGGGGUGGAAUUCCCGGUGUAGUGGUGAAAUGCGUAGAGAUCGGGAGGAACACCUGUGGCGAAGGCGGCCCCCUGGGCCGGACCUGACGCUGAGACGCGAAGGCGCGGGGAGCGAACGGG
rnacentral:rRNA from 1 species